GCACUCACAUGCAGUCGAACGGUAACAGGAAGCAGCUUGCUCUUUGCUGACGAGUGGCGGACGGGUGAGUAAUGUCUGGGAAACUGCCCGAUGGAGGGGGAUAACUACUGGAAACGGUAGCUAAUACCGCAUAACGUCGCAAGACCAAAGAGGGGGACCUUCGGGCCUCUUGCCAUCGGAUGUGCCCAGAUGGGAUUAGCUAGUAGGUGGGGUAACGGCUCACCUAGGCGACGAUCCCUAGCUGGUCUGAGAGGAUGACCAGCCACACUGGAACUGAGACACGGUCCAGACUCCUACGGGAGGCAGCAGUGGGGAAUAUUGCACAAUGGGCGCAAGCCUGAUGCAGCCAUGCCGCGUGUAUGAAGAAGGCCUUCGGGUUGUAAAGUACUUUCAGCGGGGAGGAAGGGAGUAAAGUUAAUACCUUUGCUCAUUGACGUUACCCGCAGAAGAAGCACCGGCUAACUCCGUGCCAGCAGCCGCGGUAAUACGGAGGGUGCAAGCGUUAAUCGGAAUUACUGGGCGUAAAGCGCACGCAGGCGGUUUGUUAAGUCAGAUGUGAAAUCCCCGGGCUCAACCUGGGAACUGCAUCUGAUACUGGCAAGCUUGAGUCUCGUAGAGGGGGGUAGAAUUCCAGGUGUAGCGGUGAAAUGCGUAGAGAUCUGGGGAAUACCGGUGGCGAAGGCCGCCCCCUGGACCAAGACUGACGCUCAUGUGCGAAAGCGUGGGGAGCAGACAGGAUUAUAUACCCUGGUAGUCCACGCCAUAAACGAUGUCUACUUGGAUGUUGUGGCCAUGAUGCGUGGCUUUCGAGCUACGCGUUGACUCUACCGCCUGGGGUCCCAGGCCGAGCGUUGAACUCAAAUGAAUUACAGGGCCCGCCCGAGUGCGGGAACAUCUUAUUUCGAUGCACCGCUAUACUGUCUGACAAGGUAUGA
rnacentral:rRNA from 1 species